CAGUCAAUAAUAACUUCUGAAAGUAUGCUGAAGGGAGAUAAUUACAUAAAAAUCAUGCUCAAUAGGAUUACGCUGAGGCCC